CGGAGGGUGCGAGCGUUGUCCGGAAUCAUGGGCGUAAAGGGCGCGUAGGUGGCCCGGUCAGUCUUUGGUGAAAGCGCGGGGCUCAACCCUGCGUCGGCCAGGGAUACUGCCGCGGCUCGAGCACUGUAGAGGCAGGCGGAAUUCCGGGUGUAGCGGUGGAAUGCGUAGAGAUCCGGAAGAACACCGGUGGCGAAGGCGGCCUGCUGGGCAGUUUAGCUGACACUGAGGCGCGACAGCGUGGGGAGCAAACAGGAUUAGAUACCCUGGUAGUCCACGCCGUAAACGAUGGGCACUAGGCGCCUGGGGGAGCGACCCCCCGAGGGCCGGCGCUAACGCAUUAAGUGCCCCGCCUGGGGAGUACGGCCGCAAGGCUG
rnacentral:rRNA from 1 species